GACGAACGCUGGCGGCGUGCUUAACACAUGCAAGUCGAACGAAGUGGCGAACGGGUGAGUAAUACGUGAGUAACCUGCCCUCCUUUUUGGGAUAAGCCUUGGAAACGGGGUCUAAUACCGAAUAAAGGGGGAUGGGGUCGUGGCCUAUCAGCUUGAUGGUGGGGUGAGGGCCUACCAAGGCGGUGACGGGUAGCCGGCCUGAGAGGGUGACCAGCCACAGUGGGACUGGUGUACGGCCCAGACUCGUACGGGAGGCAGGUGUGGGGUAUAUGGCACAAGGGGCUAAAGCCUGAUGCAGCGGCGCCGCGUGGGGGAUAAAGGCUUUCGGGUUGUAAACCGCUUUCAGCCAUGACGCGGUAGUGGCAGAAGAAGCACCGGCUAACUACGUGCCAGCAGCCGCGGUAAUUC
rnacentral:rRNA from 1 species